CCUACGGGUGGCAGCAGUGAGGAAUAUUGGUCAAUGGACGGAAGUCUGAACCAGCCAUGCCGCGUGCAGGAAGACGGCUCUAUGAGUUGUAAACUGCUUUUGUACAAGGGUAAACCUGAAUACGUGUAUGCAGCUGAAAGUACUGUACGAAUAAGGAUCGGUUAACGCCGGGCCAGCAGCCGCGGUAAUACGGAGGAUCCAAGCGUUAGCCGGAUUGAUGGGGUUUAAAGGGUGCGUAGGCGGAUUGAUAAGUGCGAGGUGAAAUGUCCGAGCUUAACUCGGGAACUGCCUCUAAUACUGUUUAUCUCGAGCGUAGCUGCGGUAGGCGGAAUGUCUGGUGUAGCGGUGACCUGCUU
rnacentral:rRNA from 1 species